rnacentral:lncRNA from 1 species
AGGCACACACAUUCAUCCUGGAGUCUUGUGAAUAUAAACCUGGGAAGACACAUACACCACAUUGAUCUUAUCGGAGGAAAUGCAAGAUAUAGAUGAUAAUGUGUGUGAAACCAAGCCAUCUAACAGGCUUUUCAGUUUCAGAGUUCUGCAUAAAAUACUGCUGUUCGAAGCCAAAUAUGCAUCAGAACUCAAGUAUUUGAAGGAGCACCUGCUUCCACAUGAACCCAUCUGUGCACUGAAAUCAUCUCCACCGGUCCUCCUGUAAACUUGCCCAGUAUCUGAGACCAUCUCUGUAUUGAACAUUGUGCCCAGAAACUACCUUGCCAUUAUGAAGAGUGAAGUGGCCUCUUGAGGAAGCAAAUAUCAGGUAUCAUGAAAAGAUAUCAAAUUGUUGGUUACUUAAUAUUUUUGUUAUAAGAUUUUUUUUUAAACCAGGAUGUGAUGAAUUGCUGAUGGGACUUCUGCCUCAUGUCCCAAAAUAACUAGCCUAACUUUAGAUAUUAUGUACCAUGGGCAGGUGUAUAAAAGAGUUUGCCCUUUUCUCCUCUGCCUCAGGCAGCAAAAUGGUUUGGGAUGGACUUGGCAGUGUUUAUUCUACAUUUCCUCAUUUUAGGGAUGAGAUGGCAAGAAGUUAGCUGGCCAGGUUACAUUGACCU